rnacentral:rRNA from 1 species
GUGGGGAAUAUUGCACAAUGGGCGCAAGCCUGAUGCAGCAACGCCGCGUGAGGGACGACGGCCUUCGGGUUGUAAACCUCUUUUAGCAGGGAAGAAGCGAAAGUGACGGUACCUGCAGAAAAAGCACCGGCUAACUACGUGCCAGCAGCCGCGGUAAUACGUAGGGUGCAAGCGUUGUCCGGAAUUAUUGGGCGUAAAGAGCUCGUAGGCGGUUUGUCGCGUUUGCUGUGAAAACCCGAGGCUCAACCUCGGGCCUGCAGUGGGUACGGGCAGACUAGAGUGCGGUAGGGGAGAUUGGAAGUCCUGGUGUAGCGGUGGAAUGCGCAGAUAUCAGGAGGAACACCGAUGACGAAGGCAGAUCUCUGGGCCGUAACUGACGCUGAGGAGCGAAAGCGUGGGGAGCGAACAGGAUUAGAAACCCUGGUAGUCC